rnacentral:tRNA from 1 species
GGGGGUUUAGCUCAGCUGGGAGAGCGAUUGCUUUGCACGCAAUAGGUCAGCGGUUCGAUCCCGCUAACCUCCACCA